GUGGGGAAUAUUGGACAAUGGACCAAAAGUCUGAUCCAGCAAUUCUGUGUGCACGAUGAAGUUUUUCGGAAUGUAAAGUGCUUUCAGUUGGGAAGAAGUCAGUGACGGUACCAACAGAAGAAGCGACGGCUAAAUACGUGCCAGCAGCCGCGGUAAUACGUAUGUCGCAAGCGUUAUCCGGAUUUAUUGGGCGUAAAGCGCGUCUAGGCGGUUUAGUAAGUCUGAUGUGAAAAUGCGGGGCUCAACCCCGUAUUGCGUUGGAAACUGCUAAACUAGAGUACUGGAGAGGUAGGCGGAACUACAAGUGUAGAGGUGAAAUUCGUAGAUAUUUGUAGGAAUGCCGAUGGGGAAGCCAGCCUACUGGACAGAUACUGACGCUCAGUCCCGAAAGCGUGGGGAGCAAAUAGGAUUAGAAACCCUGGUAGUCC
rnacentral:rRNA from 1 species